CAAAGACAGCUUCUCUUGUUCCAAUCUGACAUUAACAUGAAAUUUCGCAAUCACUUCCGCAUUCUCGAAUCAUGUACCAUGGUGUAAGAUUACAACGAAAGGAAAAUGCAAAUUUUGUGGCAAUCGAAGAAAUGAUAAAGUGAAAAUAUAAUUAUAAUAUUGCCUGAAUUCUGGAAUUUACAUUCGACAUCAUAGAAUUUCGCAACGUGGACGAAUCAACGAUGGGAACAAUAAAAGAGUUCACUAUGAUUGUCGACUAUGUUCUCAAGGAAACUGUUCGAAAUUCGAUUCGGCUCAUUUGCGUGUUGGAUGACAAAAAAGUUGCUUUUCGAUGGACAUGCGACGAAAUGCAACACCGAACACUCUCAAUAAAUUAUUUAUUUCAUGAUAAGAAAAAUUAAUAACGAUGGGUAAAUUAUUUAUCUAGACAGUACGCUCGUCGAAUGAUGGAUUUACGUUCACUUUAAGCGAUCUACCUGUUCCAUUUACCGAAUGAUUGAUGUCAUUUCACAAAUGUCUAUAAUUUAUAGAAAUCACAGUUGGGAACUGUAUAUUGCUUUUACAAAUGAGCGAAAGUUGCAUUUAAAUGACGGAAAACAGAAUCCCUGAUAAAUAACAAUGAAUAAAGGAAUUAUGAAUCAAUGUCCAGUUACUUCGAACCAUAUAAAGUAAAAUCAUAUAAAGUUGAUAUUAUAAUUAAAGGAAUAAAUCAAACAAUCCCGUUAUUUCAAAUGAAUAUUUGAAAAGAACUCUAUUCUCAUUCAUAGAGAAAUAUUCUUUGAAACAGUAGAAACUAGAUAAUAUAUUAAACCUGUGCAUACAUCUGAUAAAGCAUAAAUAUUACAGCGACUUUCUGCCCUGAAUCACAAGAACAUUGAAUCAAAUUAACCCACUCAAUAUAACUGAAAUCAUGGUUGUAGUGUCAUUGAACUUUCGCGUAAGCUGAAUGAAAAAAAAAAAAUUCCGUUAAACAAUAAAAUCCCUCCGCGGGAUGUUUUAUUGCACUGAUAAAAUAUUUUAUCUGUACCUAAGAUUUAAAAUAUUCAACGAUGUGACUAAGAAAAGCUAUUACAAUUAUACCGUUACGCAUUUUUUAAGAUAAAAGAUUCCCUGAGAAGUAAUGCUAAAUACUAAGUGUUUUAA